CAGUGUGAUGCCUGCCAGGCCUUGUGCGUGACAUGCCAGGCACCCUGUGGCCAUGCCUUGUGCAGGACGUGUUUUGCAGCAGACAGCACCCAGCCAGCUUGCUGCCGCUCUGCCUCUGCUGCCCCAGGUCGCAAGCUCUCGGGGACAUUCAGGGUCUCCUCCCUGGCGCAGAGCCUGCCUGGCUACUAUCGAGAUCCGACUCUUCAGGUUAUCUACAGCAUCCCUGAUGGCAUGCAAGUGGUUGGUGACCCCUGCCCAGGACACCCUUACAAAGGGGGAAAUUUCCAUGCCUACCUACCUGACAACAGGAAUGGGCAGAAGACAGCCAUGCUGCUGAAGAAAGCCUUUGAGCAGGGGCUAACAUUCCAGAUCAAGCUUUUCGACGGAGAGGGAAGAGUGACGUGGGGCCAUAUUCCGCACAAAACCUCACUGUACGGAGGCAAGGCCAGGAACGGCUAUCCAGAUGCUCAGUAUCUCCACGAGGUUUGCACAGUCCUGAAGAAAUUGGGCAUUGCGUAAGAUUUCCCGUUUGAGCAGCCGCAUCCUCU